rnacentral:rRNA from 1 species
UACGUAGGGUGCGAGCGUUAAUCGGAAUUACUGGGCGUAAAGCGUGCGCAGGCGGUGAUGUAAGACAGGUGUGAAAUCCCCGGGCUUAACCUGGGAACUGCAUUUGUGACUGCAUCGCUGGAGUGCGGCAGAGGGGGAUGGAAUUCCGCGUGUAGCAGUGAAAUGCGUAGAUAUGCGGAGGAACACCGGUGGCGAAGGCGGCUCUCUGGACCGAUACUGACGCUGAGGCGCGAAAGCGUGGGGAGCAAACAGG